AGGCCCGCUCGGCUUCGCAUUCCAGGAUGUCUGGCUCUAGGUGAGUGAUCACACCAUCGUGGUUAUCUGGGUCGUGAAGAUCUUUUUUGUAUAGUUCUUCUGUGUAUUCUUGCCACCUCUUCUUAAUAUCUUCUCCUUCUGUUAGGUCCAUACCAUUUCUGUCCUUUAUCGAACUCAUCUUUGCAUGAA